UUUUUUUAUAAUUAAUUUCUUUGGCCAGUGGAGGGACGAUGACUGUUUCUGGACAUAAUGUUUAGAACCCAAUCACACCUGCUGCAGUAGAGGAGAGAGGGAUUUCAUGUGUACACUGAGUAAUUGUGCAGAUAUAAACUCAACCUGUAGGAGUCGCCAUCUCUGUUGUAAUCACAGAGCAGAUAGUCUUUCCCAACCACUUUGUCCCGGGCGAUCUUCAGUGGCUGGUCCACAGAGGAGAGAAGGUCCUCACACAAACUGGGUACCUCAAAACAAA